rnacentral:rRNA from 1 species
UGGGGAAUAUUGCACAAUGGGCGAAAGCCUGAUGCAGCAACGCCGCGUGAGCGAUGAAGGCCUUCGGGUCGUAAAGCUCUGUCCUUAAGGAAGAUAAUGACGGUACUUGAGGAGGAAGCCCCGGCUAACUACGUGCCAGCAGCCGCGGUAAUACGUAGGGGGCAAGCGUUGUCCGGAAUGAUUGGGCGUAAAGGGCGCGUAGGCGGCUCGGUAAGUCUGGAGUGAAAGUCCUGCUUUCAAGGUGGGAAUUGCUUUGGAUACUGUCGAGCUUGAGUGCAGGAGAGGUAAGUGGAAUUCCCAGUGUAGCGGUGAAAUGCGUAGAGAUUGGGAGGAACACCAGUGGCGAAGGCGACUUACUGGACUGUAACUGACACUGAGGCGCGAAAGCGUGGGGAGCAAACAGG